GACGAACGCUGGCGGCGUGCUUAACACAUGCAAGUCGAGCGGAAAGGCCCUUCGGGGUACUCGAGCGGCGAACGGGUGAGUAACACGUGAGUAACCUGCCCUUGGCUCUGGGAUAGCUCCGGGAAACCGGAAUUAAUACCGGAUAUGACCACCGAUGACAUCGUGGGUGGUGGAAAGAUUUAUCGGCCAGGGAUGGGCUCGCGGCCUAUCAGCUUGUUGGUGGGGUAACGGCCUACCAAGGCGACGACGGGUAGCCGGCCUGAGAGGGCGACCGGCC
rnacentral:rRNA from 1 species